UGCUUGGGUAGCUCAGUUGGUAGAGCACUUGUCCGUGAAAGGCAAAGGUCCCGAGUUCGAGUCUCGGUCCAGCAC
rnacentral:tRNA from 1 species